rnacentral:rRNA from 1 species
ACGGGAGGCAGCAGUGGGGAAUAUUGGACAAUGGGCGAAAGCCUGAUCCAGCGACGCCGCGUGGGUGAAGAAGGCCUGCGGGUUGUAAAGCCCUUUCGGUGGGGAAGAAAAGCCUCGAGCUAAUACCUCGGGGUCUUGACGUAACCCAUAGAAGAAGCACCGGCUAACUCUGUGCCAGCAGCCGCGGUAAUACAGAGGGUGCGAGCGUUAAUCGGAAUUACUGGGCGUAAAGCGCGCGUAGGCGGCUUUGCAAGUCGGGUGUGAAAUCCCCAGGCUUAACCUGGGAACUGCAUUCGAGACUGCAUUGCUAGAGUAUGGGAGAGGGAAGUGGAAUUUCCGGUGUAGCGGUGAAAUGCGUAGAUAUCGGAAGGAACAUCAGUGGCGAAAGCGACUUCCUGGACCAAUACUGACGCUCAUGUGCGAAAGCGUGGGGAGCAAACAGGAUUAGAUACCCUGGUA